UCCCUGGUGGCUCAGACGGUAAAGCGUCUGUCUACAAUGCAGGAGACCCGGGUUCGAUCCCUGGGUCGGGAA
rfam:Ovis aries breed Texel chromosome 12, whole genome shotgun sequence.